rnacentral:rRNA from 1 species
ACGGUCCUAAGGUAGCGAAAUUCCUUGUCAGGUAAGUUCUGACCCGCACGAAAGGCGUAAUGAUUUGGGCGCUGUCUCGACAAUGUACUCGGCGAAAUUGUAGUACUAGUGAAGAUGCUAGUUACCUGCGACAAGACAGAAAGACCCCAUGGAGCUUUACUGUAGCUUGAUACUGGGUUUCGAUAAUUUAUGUACAGGAUAGGUGGGAUGCAAAGAAGCAAGUGCGCCAGCAUUUGUGGAGCAGACGUUGGGAUACCACCCUUAAGUUAUUGGAAUUCUAACCUGUAGUCAUGAACUGGCUAGGGGACAAUGUCAGGCGGGCAGUUUGACUGGGGCGGUCGCCUCCAAAAGAGUAACGGAGGCGCGCAAAGGUUUCCUCAGCGCGGACAGAAAUCGCGCGAAAGAGUGCAAAGGCAGAAGGAAGCUUAACUGAGAGACUGACAAGUCGACCAGAUACGAAAGUAGGUCUUAGUGAUCCGGCGGUAGUGAGUGGAAAUGCCGUCGCUCAACGGACAAAAGUUACCCUGGGGAUAACAGGCUUAUCUCCCCCAAGAGUUCACAUCGACGGGGAGGUUUGGCACCUCGAUGUCGGCUCAUCGCAUCCUGGAGCUGAAGUCGGUUCCAAGGGUUGGGCUGUUCGCCCAUUAAAGCGGUACGCGAGCUGGGUUCAGAACGUCGUGAGACAGUUCGGUCCUUAUCUGUCGCAGGCGUAGGAUAUUUGAAGGGAGCUGUCCUUAGUACGAGAGGACCAGGAUGGACAUACCGAUGGUGUAUCAGUUGUCACACCAGUGGCACGGCUGAGUAGCUAAGUAUGGAAGGGAUAAACGCUGAAAGCAUCUAAGUGUGAAGCCCACCUUAAGAUAAGAUAUCCCAUUGCGUAAGCAAGUAAGAUCCCAUGAAGACUACAUGGUAGAUAGGUUGGGGGUGUAAGUACAGUAAUGUAUUAAGCUGACCAAUACUAAUAGAUCGAGGGCUUAACCAC